GCAUUCAAGAUGUGAGUGCCCGUGGUGUGU
rnacentral:piRNA from 1 species